rnacentral:lncRNA from 1 species
GUUACCUCACCCUGGUAGAACCACAGGAUUGUGUGUUUGGAACCUGAUACAGCUCACUGAUGGCAUUUACUCUCUUAAGGCUUUCCAGCAUCAAACCCCUGGGAACAAUGGAUAAGAUACAAAAGUGGAGUGCAGAGAUAAUUUAAGCUGCUCAGGAGAGCUGCUGACCUUCACUGCUGCCUUCUGGAAGUUUUUGUGUGCCAACAGCCCUGAGGGAGACCCUGAGCACCCUGUGCUUGGAAAGAGGAGGUGCAGAGGCAACGCCCAGAAAUGUCAGAGCUCUGCAGAGGAUUGGAGCAGGGGACCUACAUGUCCCAAAACAGCUUUACAGAGGAUGUGCCAGUCUGGGGAUCAAUCUCUGCCUCAGAAGAAGGUAGGAGAAAUCAUAUUUACCCUGCAGAGAGCAGCACCUGCUC